AAAAACCUUCAAGCUAUGCUUGGUGUUGGGUGUUUGUCCCGCCCCGGUGCGUGGACUCGCCUCAAAACUAUUGGCAGCCGGUUUACUGGCUUUGGUGCAGCACAACGCGCCACAAGCACGCUGAAUCUGGCCCCCAGAAGCCCCUUCUAA
rnacentral:misc_RNA from 1 species